UUCGGGAACCGUGAGACAGGUGCUGCAUGGCUGUCGUCAGCUCGUGUUGUGAAAUGUUGGGUUAAGUCCCGCAACGAGCGCAACCCUUAUCCUUUGUUGCCAGCGAUUAGGUCGGGAACUCAAAGGAGACUGCCAGUGAUAAACUGGAGGAAGGUGGGGAUGACGUCAAGUCAUCAUGGCCCUUACGACCAGGGCUACACACGUGCUACAAUGGCGCAUACAAAGAGAAGCGACCUCGCGAGAGCAAGCGGACCUCAUAAAGUGCGUCGUAGUCCGGAUUGGAGUCUGCAACUCGACUCCAUGAAGUCGGAAUCGCUAGUAAUCGUGGAUCAGAAUGCCACGGUGAAUACGUUCCCGGGCCUUGUACACACCGCCCGUCACACCAUGGGAGUGGGUUGCAAAAGAAGUAGGUAGCUUAACCUUCGGGAGGGCGCUUACCACUUUGUGAUUCAUGACUGGGGUGAAGUCGUAACAAGGUAACCGUAGGGGAACCUGCGGUUGGAUCACCUCCUUACCUGAAAGAAGC
rnacentral:rRNA from 1 species